UAGAGGAAGUAAAAGUCGUAACAAGGUUUCCGUAGGUGAACCUGCGGAAGGAUCAUUAUUGAAUGAACAUAGAGUCGGUUGUAGCUGGCCCCUUUUAACCGGGGGGCAUGUGCACGCCUUCUCUUUUCAUCCAUACACACACCUGUGAACUUGUGAGACGGAUUUCGACCCUCUCCGGGGGGGAAAGGUCCGUCUGCUAUACAUAAACUCCUGAAUAAUAAAUUAGAAUGUAAUCGAUGUAACGCAUCUUUAAACUAAGUUUCAACAACGGAUCUCUUGGCUCUCGCAUCGAUGAAGAACGCAGCGAAAUGCGAUAAGUAAUGUGAAUUGCAGAAUUCAGUGAAUCAUCGAAUCUUUGAACGCACCUUGCGCUCCUUGGUAUUCCUCGGAGCAUGCCUGUUUGAGUAUCAUGAAAUCUUCAAAAUAAAUCUUUUGUUCACUCGAUUGAUUUUAUUUUGGACUUGGAGGCUUGCAGAUUCACGUCUGCUCCUCUUAAAUUUAUUAGCUGGAUCUCGGUGAGCUCGGUUCCACUCGGCGUGAUAAGUAUCACUCGCUGAGGACACUGUAAAAGGUGGCCGGGAUUGCGGAUGAACCGCUUCUAAUAGUCCAUUGACUUGGACAAUAAAUACUUUAUGAUCUGAUCUCAAAUCAGGUAGGACUACCCGCUGAACUUAAGCAUAUCAAUAAGCGGAGGAAAAGAAACUAACAAGGANUCCC
rnacentral:rRNA from 1 species